AAAAUCUGCCGCACAAUAUAUAAACCAGAAAGACCCAGAGAGCGGCGAAACAAAUCCCUAACAAUUGCAAUUCAAAAUACGCAGCCUGCGAGUAAUUUCAUUUACUUUCACCGUCCAGCUCCGGCUGUAGAUGACAAUGAAAACGCCGUCGUUAGGGGUGGUUAACAGAGCCGCAGCUGGAGCUGGUGGAGCGAGCUCUGUGGGUAAGACGGUAAUGAUUACGGGAGUGAGCAGAGGACUAGGCAGAGCCUUAGCUCUAGAACUAGCCAAGAGAGGUCACACUAUUAUUGGCUGCUCUCGUGCUCAGGAUAAGCUCAAUUCCCUCCAAUCUGAACUCUCCUCCGACCAAAACAACCAACAUGUCCUCCUCAACGCCGAUGUGAGUUCUAAUACUAGUGUGGAGGAGCUGGCGAGAGCUGUAAUGGAAAAGAAGGGCGUUCCGGAUAUCAUAGUGAACAAUGCGGGUACCAUUAACAGAAACAACAAGAUAUGGGAGGUUCCAGUUGAAGAGUUUGACGCUGUAAUUGAUACGAAUGUCAAAGGAAUAGCAAAUGUUUUGCGUCAUUUCAUCCCUCUAAUGUUACCCAACAAGCAAGGAAUUAUUGUUAAUUUCUCUUCUGGAUGGGGAAGAUCCGGUGCCGCCCUGGUUGCGCCUUAUUGUGCAUCUAAGUGGGCUGUUGAGGGUUUGACCAGAUCAGUUGCAAAGGAGUUGCCUGAUGGGAUGGCAGUUGUUGCACUUAAUCCAGGAGUUAUACACACUGAAAUGCUCCAGUCAUGCUUUGGCACUUCAGCUUCACUUUACCAGGCACCCGAUGCAUGGGCCACAAAGGCAGCUACAAUGAUACUCAAUCUAACUGGAGCUGAUAAUGGUGCAUCUCUUACUGUGUGAUGAAAGUUUCUGAGGUUGCAAUGAUGCUUUAAACAGAAGCAGUUGGAGCACCUUUCUCACUGUGACCAUCUGGACAUUUAUUCAUUACGAUGAAUCAGAUGCUGAUGAGAUAAAUAUACUUUUUGAAAGAUUGUAUAGAAGCAAAACUUCCUGAUAAAGAUCUCUCACUCUUGCAUGCUCCUUGUUUCUAAUUUCAAUGUACAAGGAUGAGUAUUCCGAUGGAAGCAGGUGCAGAGUCGUGAAGAAACCUUUACCUUGGCAUCUUGAGUUGUAGUGCGAGUCGGGUUAUCUUGAUUAAACCCUCCAUUCUUCCCAAUGCUGUGAGGACAGUUGGGCCGGAACUAAAUGAUAGGAGGUAGCUUUCUUCUUCUAACCCUUAUCCCACAUCAAGUCAAUUGGCAAUUCACACAUAGGAUUAACUAUUUCUUGUAAGUUAUACAUGUAAGCUUAUGAUAAUUUGUUAGUAUCCUAGUACUGUUAGUGUUAUAUUCUUCACCAUCGCUAUUUAAAUUCUUUUUUUUCCUUUCAAUUGAUUAGAAUUGAAAAAUACAAUUAAAAUUUCCAUAUAAUUUUCUUCUGUUUUAUCAUGUAUAAGCUUGGGAAGUCAUCGAAAUAAUAUGUACUAUAUAGUUAUUAAAAUUGCAAA